rnacentral:lncRNA from 1 species
AAAUCUCAUUCUUCCAAUGAAAAAACCUUAACAUCCAAAAUUUACAUAACUAAAGACAAGUAUUUUACUCAUAUAUCACCACUAAGAUUUCAUAUAAGGCAUUUCAUUAUAUAAAAGUCUAUGACACCAUCUUGCAUAUCAGAAACCAACAUGCAGUCCAAUGAUUGUAAGUAUAUAAGCUCCAAAGUAUACGUCCAAAAGUGUGAAAGAACCCAAAAUUCAGUUAGCCUAAAAGGGGUUCCUGUCUAUGACUCCUAGGAAGAGAUGCGACCUUGUUGAAGCUUUACUAACAAAUUAAAAUUAUAAAUCCCAUGCACCACAAUUUGAAAAGCAGACCCCGAACACGUACCUCGGGUUGAAAGGGUGGUUUAAUCCAUAUAUGAACAAUCUGAUAGAUCAUUCGAAAUCAGUAGUAUAGUAUUAAUAGAAGCCCAAAGGGUAGAAAGAUAACCCAAAGACUGUUGUCAUAGUAUAUUUAGGGCAGAAGGAUUACCCAAAGACUGUUGUCAUAGUAUAUUUAGGGUAGAAGGAUAACCCAAAGACUGUUGUCAUAGUAUAUUUAGGGUAGAAGGAUAACCCAAAGACUGUUGUCAUAGUAUAUUUAGGGUAGAAGGAUAACCCAAAGACUGUUGUCAUAGUAUAUUUAGGGUAGAAGGAUAACCCAAAGACUGUUGUCAUAGUAUAUUUAGGGUAGAAGGAUAACCCAAAGACUGUUGUCAUAGUAUAUUUAGGGUAGAAGGAUAACCCAAAGACUGUUGUCAUAGUAUAUUUAUGGCAAACCCCAACUUAUGGACUCUGAAUCGGUUCCAAUCUAUGAUCCCAUAGAUAUAAGGGUCAUCCAAAGGACAGAAGGGCAACCGAAUGAAUAUUGUCAUAGUACAUUAAUGGAAAACCAAUUUACAAAUCCUGAAUAGAUUCCCAUCUAGGACUCUUUAGACAAAUGGCUCGUCUAAAGGGCAGAAGGGCAACCAUACCGACUGUUUCAUAGCAAAGUUCUUGCAAAACCAGCUUACUGACCUUGUAUAAUAGAUUCCCAUUUAGGACCCUUUAGACAAAUGGCUCGUCUGAAGGACAG